CAGUUAUUUUCUGAUGCUGCUUGUGUCCAAAGCACCUCCUGAUGCACAAGCGACAGAGCUGCAUCAAGGACAGCGGCCCUUCUUUCUGCAGGAACAGUCGACCCAAAGGGCUGCCAGGUGGAACCAGCUCCAUUGGCCGUUUGCUUUCAGCAUUCUUUGCCCAAAUGUCUGCUCCAAAGUCAAUCAGCAGCAUCACCAGCUCUACACUGCAACUCCUGGCUGCUGCAUGCAGUGGGGACUCCAGGCCCUUGCCGCUGUUCACGUUUGCACCUGACUCAAGUAGCUUCCUG
rnacentral:lncRNA from 1 species